UACGUAGGGGGCAAGCGUUUGUCCGGAUUUACUGGGCGUAAAGAGCGUGUAGGCGGCCAAGCAGGUCCGUUGUGAAAACUGGAGGCUUAACCUCCAGACGUCGACGGAAACCGCGUGGCUAGAGUCCGGAAGAGGAGAGUGGAAUUCCUGGUGUAGCGGUGAAAUGCGCAGAUAUCAGGAAGAACACCAAUGGCGAAGGCAGCUCUCUGGGACGUGACUGACGCUGAGACGCGAAAGCGUGGGGAGCAAACAGG
rnacentral:rRNA from 1 species